GUAGGUGAACCUGCGGAAGGAUCAUUACCAAACUUGCGAACCCGGCCUAGGCCGCGGUACGCUUCAACCCUUUGUGAACCAAAAAACCUUUUCGCUUCGGUUAGCAGGGAGCGGUUGCGGGUCAAACCCAACCAAUUCCGUAAGCCUGCCGGCAGCACCAAAAAUUUAAACCUGACGUCAAAUAUUGUCUGAACACCAUAUUUUCGAAUGAAAAUUAAAACUUUCAACAACGGAUCUCUUGGUUCUC
rnacentral:misc_RNA from 1 species